rnacentral:rRNA from 1 species
GACGAACGCUGGCGGCGUGCUUAACACAUGCAAGUCGAACGAAGUGGCGAACGGGUGAGUAACGCGUAAUCAACCUGCCCUUCGGAGGGGAACAACAGUUGGAACCGACUGCUAAUACCGCAUACUGAAGGACGUGUUUGCGGCUGAUUUGCUAGUUGGAGGGGUAACGGCCCACCAAGGCGAUGAUCAGUAGGCGGUCUGAGAGGAUGAACGGCCACAUUGGGACUGAGACACGGCCCAGACUCCUACCGGAGGCCGCCGUGGGGAAUCUUCCGCAAUGGACGAAAGUCUGACGGAGCAACGCCGCGUGAGUGAUGACGGCCUUCGGGUUGUAAAGCUCUGUUAAUCGGGACGCGGUACCGGAAUAGAAAGCCACGGCUAACUACGUGCCAGCAGCCGCGGUAAUUC